rnacentral:tRNA from 1 species
GCGCCUGUAGCUCAGCUGGAUAGAGCAACGGACUUCUAAUCCGUAGGUCCUGGGUUCGAAUCCCCGCAGGCGUGCCA